GACGAACGCUGGCGGCGUGCCUAAUACAUGCAAGUCGAGCGAGCGGAGCUAACCGAUUUACUUCGGUAAUGACGUUAGGAAAGGGAGCGGCGGAUGGGUUAGUAACACGUGGGGAACCUGCCCCAUUGUCAGGGAUACCACUUGGAAACAGGUGCUAAUACCGGCUAUGAAAGCAGAUCGCAUGGUCAGCUUUUAAAAGGCGGCGUAAGCUGUCGCUAUGGGAUGGCCGCGCGGUGCAUUAGCUAGUUGGUAAGGUGAAGGCUUACCAAGGCGAUGAUGCAUAGCGCAGUUGAAAGAGUGAUUGACUACCUGGGGACUGAGACACGGCCGAAACACCGGCAGGGGGAAGCAGUAGGGAAUCUUCCGCGAGGGAGGAAAGUCGGAUGGAGCACCGCCGCGUGAGUGAAGAUGCUUUUCGGAUGGGAAAGCGCUGUUGUUGGUGAAGAAGGAUAGAGGUAGUAAGUGGGCAUUAUUUGACGGUACUCAACGAGAAAGUCACGGCUAACUACGUG
rnacentral:rRNA from 1 species